ACAGCCCUAGAGGAAUAUAAAUAGAAACUAGAAAUACAUUGGCAUGACAGUAUACAAAUGAACAGUUCAACUGUAAGAUUGAAAUGGCAAACACAACUACAAGGAUAAUAACAUUUUAGAGUGGAUAGAAGCUAGAUAUUGUGAUUAUUUAUUGUCAUUGACCUAUUCCUUCCUCAAUUGAUAUUUGGAGAAAUUACGGAAAUAAGGAGACAGGCAGUAAAGUGUUUUCUGUAGAAAACAACUGCAUCAACUGGGUUCAAAAUGAAGGCACAGAAAGUGACAGCUACUUUCACCAUGGUGUUCUUAUGUUGGAUUAUCCAUGAAGUUUCUUCCACAACCGCAUAUCCGACAACUGCAGAUCUUAUUACAACAACAACAACUGCAGCUCCUACGGCAACAACUCUAGCUCCAACGACAACUGCAGCUCCAACGACAACUGCAGCUCCGACGACAACUACAACUGCAGUACCUAAUACUAUGACUACAACUACAGACCCUACUACAACUGUAGCUCCUACGGACACUACAAAGGUAACACCUACAAUGACCACUGUAGCUCCCAUGCCACCUGCAACUCCUACGACAACUGAAGCUCUGAUAACAACUGCUGUUCCUACGACCACUACAACUCCAAAACCUACUACGACAGAACCUACUCCCACGACUGCUACGACUGCAGAACCUACCACGACAACCAGUGCAGCUCCUACUACAACAACUGCUGUUCUUACGACAACCACGACUGCAGCACCUUCUACAACAACUACAACUUCAGCUCCUACGGCAACCACAACGGCAACACCUACUACAACAUCUGCAGUUCCAACAACUGUAGCUCCCAUGACCACUACACUUGCUGUACUGACUACAACAACCACAGCUGCAGCUCCUGCUACAACAAUUGUAGCUUCUACGUCAACCACAGCAGCUGCCUCUACGACAACUGCUGCUCCAACGACCACUACAAUUCCAGAACCUAU